rnacentral:rRNA from 1 species
GAUGAACGCUAGCGGCAGGCCUAAUACAUGCAAGUCGAACGGUGUAGCAAUACACAGUGGCGCACGGGUGCGUAACACGUAUGCAACCUACCUUACAUUGGGGGAUAGCCUUUCGAAAGGGAGAUUAAUACCGCAUAAGACAGUAACUAGGCAUCUAGUAGCUGUUAAAGAUUUAUCGAUGUAAGCUGGGCAUGCGUCCAAUUAGUUAGUUGGCGAGGUAAUGGCUCACCAAGACGAUGAAUGGUAGGGGAACUGAGAGGUCAAUCCCCCACACGGGCACUGAGAUACGGGCCAGGCUCCUACGGGAGGCAGCAGUAGGGAAUAUGGGGGAAGGGGCGCAAGCCUAACCCAGCCAGGCCGCGUGCAGGAAGAAGGGGUUAUGCGUUGUAAACUGCUUUUAUACAGGAAGAAACGACCCUUGCGAGGGGCAUUGACGGUACUGUAUGAAUAAGCACCGGCCAACUCCGUGCCAGCCGCCGCAGUAAGAC